rnacentral:lncRNA from 1 species
GGCGGGGCCUGGAGGGGCGCGCCGAGCUGCGCGCACGUGCGCGCGGGGUCCGCGCUGCUCCGCCGUCCGUAGGGCGCAGCGGAAGGGCUCCUCGGGUCAGCAGCGGGGCGCGGUGUCCCGGCCGCCGGAUGCGCGGUAUUUUUAGCAGAAAACAGCGUCUGAAGCCACGGUUCUCUUGGUAUUGCGACGUGUGCCGAGCGACCAGACGUGCCCUCUGCGUGCUGAGCUGCAGCGUGGGACGUACCGUAUUUGCAAAACAGAGCUUGGCGCGUCUGCAUCACUCACUGCUGUGGAAAGAGUCGUCAGGAUGAUGUAUUGAAGCACGGCCAUCUCCAUUAUGGCUUGCAUCAGACUGGAGCAUCUUGACCCAGAGAAAGAGAAUCAGGUGGUAAAGAAAGGACGGCUCCUUUCGUGGGGGAUUUGAGGACUCGAAGGUGAUUCUGUUGCGGGCGCUGUGUUACCUGCGCAUCCCCGACCCUUGGGCACCGGGAUCCCUCCGUGGUCUCGCAGGGCACCCAGGAGUUCUGCUCUCUGUGGAGGUAAACACGCACCAUUAGGAGCCCCAGCAGAGGUCUUCAGAGCAUCAGUGCCGCCGUGCUGAAGGGUCUCUGCACGGGAAUGUGUAAAGGGAGCCUUGUCUCAGAAGUGGUCCCUGCUUUUGUCAAGGUUCCGCGUUCUGCUUCGUUUCAAAGCCAGGAGGAGGAGGGAUGCUGGCUGUGUGCUGGGCGUGCCCCGGGGUCUCCCCGACGGACAGCGCCGCUCGGCGUGCACCUGGAUCCCGCUGCACGGAGCCGGCUGCUGCUGCUGAGGCUGCCCUCGGGUGUCAGAGCGGGAGGGGACCGAUGUCCCAAGCAUUACACGUGCUAUCAUUCCGUAGUGUGUUUUCUAGGCUGAAAGGAGGACAGCCGCUGCUCCCAGAUUGCAGCUGGAUCCCUGAAAGAAAGCAAAAGCACGGGCUGUGCUCAGAGCAAUCCGGAAUGCUCGGAAGUGAACUAAGGCGACGUGGAGCACCGCUAUGGAGAGUGGCCCCGCGGGACCCCGUGGGACACAGCCCGGCGGCAAUGACAACAUCUGCCCCUGGUCCCAUACUCAUCCUUAAAUGUAAAUUAAGAGUCCAGAAGCGCCCGCUCAAAUAUGAAAAUGUUGAGCAGUCGCUUCAUUCGGCAAGGCAGCAUUCGCCACCUAGAGAGCCACGCGAGAAAUGCAGGGAAACGCGUGAGCGCGGACACGGGCAGGUGCAACCGGCACGGCCCCGGCACCGCCACCGCCUGGGGACGAGGGGCGGCCGUGGGCAACGCUUCUGCUCUGCUGGCAAGGCCGGUCAUGUACCACUGGAAGAGAACGGGGGGGCACCAGCGAGUCCUGCCGAGGACAGGGUGCUGUCCCGUCGCCUGUCGAUGCCCACGCAGCAGAGCAGGUGCACGCAGAGCGGUGCUUGGAACCCACCGGGUGGCUGA